rnacentral:rRNA from 1 species
CCUACGGGAGGCAGCAGAGGAGUGUGGAAUUCCGGGUGUAGUGGUGAAAUGCGUAGAUAUCCGGAGGAACACCAGUGGCGAAGGCGGCACUCUGGGCUGUACCUGACGCUAAGACGCGAAAGCAUGGGUAGCGAACGGGAUUAGAUACCCGUGUAGUCC